CACAUGGCUAGGUUCACUGAAUCUCUCCUACUCCCGGACUUAUGCACUGAACUCUCCUACAGUAUCUCUGCAGAAACUUCCAGAAACUUAGAUAAAUCGCAUAAAUCAAUUCAUACUCCUAUUAGUAUAAUCGUAUAUAUACAUUACACGCAGUGGACCCAGCAUCCAAUCGGUGAUGUCGAUCCUCGGAAAGCAAAAGCAGCUCCCACCAUCCAAGCGGCCAAAACCCAGCAGCUGCGCAUGCAGCCGCAGCAACCGAAAGAGACCGCCGAAACCAAACCCAACCCAACCCAACCACAGGAGGAGCACCUGGGGGAGGCACGCACAGCAGACCUGGCAACCAAAGCAAAG
rnacentral:lncRNA from 1 species